AGAGUUUGAUCAUGGCUCAGGAUGAACGCUAGCGGCAGGCAUAAUACAUGCAAGUUGAACGGGAUUCAGGUAGUAAUAUCUGAUGAGAGUGGCGCACGGGUGCGUAACACGUAUGCAACUUGCCUCAAACAGGGGAAUAGCCCGUGGAAACAUGGAUUAAUAUCCCAUAGUAUUACUGGAAGGCAUCUUUUGGUAAUUAAAGCUCCGGCGGUUUGAGAUAGGCAUGCGCGUCAUUAGCUAGUUGGCGGUGUAAUGGACCACCAAGGCUACGAUGACUAGGGGGUCUGAGAGGAUUUCCCCCCACACUGGUACUGAGACACGGACCAGACUCCUACGGGAGGCAGCAGUAGGGAAUAUUGGGCAAUGGUCGCAAGACUGACCCAGCCAUGCCGCGUGCAGGAUGACGGCCCUAUGGGUUGUAAACUGCUUUUAUCAGGGAAGAAACCCUUCUAUGCGUAGAAGGCUGACGGUACCUGAGGAAUAAGGAUCGGCUAACUCCGUGCCAGCAGCCGCGGUAAUACGGAGGAUCCAAGCGUUGUCCGGAUUUAUUGGGUUUAAAGGGUGCGUAGGCGGACUGAUAAGUCAGAGGUGAAAGCCGGUAGCUCAACUAUCGAAUUGCCUUUGAAACUACCAGUCUUGAAUAUUGUUGAGGUAGGCGGAAUGUAUCAUGUAGCGGUGAAAUGCAUAGAUAUGAUACAGAACACCGAUUGCGAAGGCAGCUUACUAAGCAAUUAUUGACGCUGAGGCACGAAAGCGUGGGGAUCAAACAGGAUUAGAUACCCUGGUAGUCCACGCCGUAAACGUUGAAUACUUGCUGUUGGCGAUAUACAGUCAGCGGCUCAGCGAAAGCGUUAAGUAUUCCACCUGGGGGAGUACGUUCGCAAGGAUGAAACUCAAAGGAAUUGACGG
rnacentral:rRNA from 1 species